GACGAACGCUGGCGGCGUGCUUAACACAUGCAAGUCGAACGGAAAGGCCCUGCUUUUGUGGGGUGCUCGAGUGGCGAACGGGUGAGUAACACGUGAGUAACCUGCCCUUGACUUUGGGAUAACUUCUGGAAACUGGGGCUAAUACCGGAUAGGAGCUCCUGCUGCAUGGUGGGGGUUGGAAAGUUUCGGCGGUUGGGGAUGGACUCGCGGCUUAUCAGCUUGUUGGUGGGGUAGUGGCUUACCAAGGCUUUGACGGGUAGCCGGCCUGAGAGGGUGACCGGCCACAUUGGGACGGAGAUACGGCCCAGACUCCUACGGGAGGCAACAGUGGGGAAUAUUGCACAAUGGGCGGAAGCCUGAUGCAGCAACGCCGCGUGCGGGAUGACGGCCUUCGGGUUGUAAACCGCUUUCGCCUGUGACGAAGCGUGAGUGACGGUAAUGGGUAAAGAAGCACCGGCUAACUACGU
rnacentral:rRNA from 1 species